rnacentral:rRNA from 1 species
UACGUAGGGCGCGAGCGUUAUCCGGAAUUAUUGGGCGUAAAGAGCUCGUAGGCGGUUUGUCACGUCUGCUGUGAAAACUGGAGGCUCAACCUCCAGCCUGCAGUGGGUACGGGCAGACUAGAGUGCGGUAGGGGAGAUUGGAAUUCCUGGUGUAGCGGUGGAAUGCGCAGAUAUCAGGAGGAACACCAAUAGCGAAGGCAGCUCGCUGGGACGGUACUGACGCUAAGGCGCGAAAGCGUGGGGAGCAAACAGG